rnacentral:rRNA from 1 species
AUUGAACGCUGGCGGCAUGCCUUACACAUGCAAGUCGAACGGCAGCACGGGUGCUUGCACCUGGUGGCGAGUGGCGAACGGGUGAGUACUAUAUCGGAACGUACCUUAUUGUGGGGGAUAACGCAGCGAAAGCUGUGCUACUACCGCAUAAUCCCUUAGGGGGAAAGCGGGGGACCGUAAGGCCUCGCGCAAUUAGAGCGGCCGAUACCUGAUUAGCUAGUUGGUGAGGUAAAGGCUCACCAAGGCGACGAUCAGUAGCUGGUCUGAGAGGACGAUCAGCCACACUGGGACUGAGACACGGCCCAGACUCCUACGGGAGGCAGCAGUGGGGAAUUUUGGACAAUGGGGGCAACCCUGAUCCAGCAAUGCCGCGUGAGUGAAGAAGGCCUUCGGGUUGUAAAGCUCUUUUGUCAGGGAAGAAACAGCAGCUCUAACACAGUAUGCGAAUGACGGUACCUGAAGAAUAAGCACCGGCUAACUACGUGCCAGCCGCCGCCGUAA